AAAGCGAAUAGUGAAAUCUGGUGGCUCAACCAUCAACACAUUAUUCGAACUCACAGACUCGAGAGUAGUAGAGGUACCUGGAAUUCCCAGUGUAGGAGUGAAAUCCGUAGAUAUUGGGAGGAACACCGAUGGCGUAGGCAGGGUACUGGACUAUUUCUGACGCUGAGGCACGAAAGCGUGGGGAGCGAACCGGAUUAGAUACCCGGGUAGUCCACGCCGUAAACGAUGGAUGCUA
rnacentral:rRNA from 1 species